AGGUGUUCCACAUUUGAUGUUUUAUUUGUUUAGUGUGAGUCAAUGAUGAUCAGGUAAAUGGUCUGGUAAAACUAUCUUCAGUUCAGACAGUGGGAGAAAGAACAGGUCAGGCUGGAUCCCAAUAAUCCCUCUGCCACGAGGUUACAAAGGUCAGUUUACACAUUCCAAAGACAGAAUACAUUUCCAAUCUCUGUAAAAGUCUGAAAACCGCUUCUUGAAUAGAGGGAAGCAUAACUAACAGAAGUCACCUUGCCCUGCAUAUACAGAUACUUCAUUAAAAUACAACAUUUAAAAUAUGCUUUUUCAUCAUAGUCCUAUAUAAGUAUAUCAUGUGUAGUCUAAGCCAGAAGUCGACCCACGAUUUAAUUUGCUCCCCAAAAGUUUUUGUCAUUUCUUUUUUAAGAUUUUCAAGGAUUUGAGUGGAGAUCUGCUUCCCCAACCUCCCACUCUCGAUGGCUAUCCAAAAAAUAUGGCUCCAUCUAUGGUUCACUUUGGACCCAAGAAAGUGGUUGUUCUGGCAGGAUACAAGAUGGUCAAGCAGGCGCUGGUCAACCAUGCAGAGGAGUUUGGGGACAGGGGAACGCCGCCUGUGUUCUAAGAUUUCACCAGUGGACAUGGAAUUCUGGUUGCCAAUGGAGACUCAUGGAAAGAGAUGAGAUGCUUUGCCGUAGCGAACCUUAGACUUUGGCAUGGGCAAGAAAGGAAGUCAGGAGGAAAUUCGCUACCUUAUUCAAUUGUUAGAAAAAACAUGAGGGAAAAAUUUGAAGUUACGAUUUUUGAAUACCCAAAUAAGAUAACAAAUAUAUACAUGUUCUUAGUUUUGCUAAUUCUCUUCCUGUUGGGCUUUGUGACAGGUAAAGCAUUUGACACAACCCAGCCAAUGAAUUAUGAUGUCUCCAAUGUAAUCUCCAACAUUGUGUAUGGCAGCAGGUUUGAAUACUCUGACCCCAAGAUCCAAGCCAAUGAGAACCUCAGAAUUAGUGGCUCUGUUUCAAUGCAGGUACAUGAUGUUUACUUUGUUUCUCACUCUUAGAGAAUAAUGCCAAACUGUUCACACUUGACUAAACCAGGAAAAUAAAAUAAAU